AGCGCCCGUAAAUAAAUGAGAGGAGAGAGAGACGCCCGUUAUUCGUACGAAGCUCGCGGCUCCUUCUCUCCCUCCGACACGAAUCCCUUCUUUGCAGCUUCUCCAGAGGGCUUAUAAGACAGUGAAAAAUGGGUCUCAGCUUCACAAAGUUGUUCAGCCGGCUUUUUGCGAAAAAAGAAAUGCGGAUUCUGAUGGUUGGCCUUGAUGCUGCUGGUAAAACUACAAUCUUAUACAAGCUGAAGCUGGGUGAGAUUGUCACUACCAUCCCAACCAUUGGGUUCAAUGUGGAGACCGUAGAGUACAAGAACAUCAGUUUCACCGUUUGGGAUGUGGGUGGUCAGGACAAGAUCCGUCCGCUGUGGAGGCACUAUUUCCAGAACACUCAAGGUCUGAUAUUCGUUGUUGACAGCAACGACAGGGACCGGGUUGUGGAGGCAAGGGAUGAGUUGCAUCGCAUGCUGAACGAGGAUGAACUGAGAGAUGCUGUCCUGCUUGUGUUUGCAAACAAACAAGAUCUUCCAAACGCAAUGAAUGCUGCAGAAAUAACCGACAAGCUGGGCCUUCACUCUCUCCGCCAACGCCACUGGUACAUCCAGAGUACAUGUGCAACAUCUGGGGAAGGUCUUUACGAAGGCCUUGAUUGGCUCUCCAACAACAUCGCUAGCAAGGCAUGAAACUGCUGAGAAAGAAACCAUGGGGGCGGUGGAGGAGGAAGAAUAGUAUGUGUUAGCCUUUUGAAGGUUGUUUCUUCCCCGAAAAUUGAAUCUUAGUAUGAUUGAAUUGAACAGCAAGACAGAACAUUGCUCUAUCGAACAGCGUGUUGGAAAGCGUUUUGAACAUUUGGCUAGAAGAGAUUCAAUUCAAUAGCUUGAAGAAUGACAGAUCAAGUUCUUGACAGUAUCCGUGGAGGCUGUAGCAGGAAAAGUCUGCAAUGAUCCUCGAGAAGAAGGACCAAGUCCUGAACAGAUACAGUCACGGGAAAGAAAGAGAUGACGGAGAGAGCUAGUCACACUAAGCCAUAUGAGUUCAAAACGAUUUAUUAUUAUUUAUUCGGACACAGCUUCGAGGGAUGGUCUUGUUUUUUUUUUCACUCCUAUAAACUUUUAAUUUAUUA